UUUCAUCACUAAAUAUAAUAUUUCUACAGAUAAAAAAUUCUAUACAAAAGGAUUAUAGAUAUAAUUCGAAAAUUUGCUCAAAAAAACUUUAUCAAUUAACAUCCCAAGCUAGAGUAUGCUAUCAUGUUUUACAUGUCGCCACUAGCAAAAUAAUAGUGAACUUGUGCAUCUUCUAAACUUUAAUCUUGACUUGUAACUUCAAUCUUCGAAAAUCUGUAAGAACAAAAUUUUGCAAAGAUGAUAAAUAUGUAUUGGUAUAUAAUAAUAUAUAUGAACUUACACUAGAAUUAGUUAAAGUGCUCACCGCAAAAGAAGUGUAAAAUUUAUCAAUUUGAUAGAAACAUCAACAAGCUGUACUAACAAGAGAAAAUUAGUAAAAAGGCUUUCAGAUGCAAUAACCACGUCAUGGAUUUUUCAUAUUGAACUACAAGAAACACUUGAUUGAAACCGCAAUAAUAACUAACCAAAAAUGCACUUGAAACUACAAAUUCCCGUUUUCCAGAAACAUGUCUUCAAUGGUCACAUAGAUUUGUUUUGCUCAUGGAUUUUUCUUCUUCUGCAAAGGUGAGAUCAGGUCUGUGCAUUUGCUAUUUUAAUCUUUCAGGGAGUUUUCACAAGCUUCUGGAUUCAUUUCUAACUUGACCAAAAGCUCAACAUAUUUGUGUGGGGUCAAUGAUGGUAUCAAGAUUACCUCAAAAUAGAGGUGUUACAAGUGUGAAAUUGAAUUUAGCUAUCUCUGUAGCAUUAAAACAAGUUGCUGGCAAAUUGACAGUUGUUAAAGAAGCAUUGAUAGCUGAUCGGGGCUGAAGCUAUUUGCUAAAGAUGAUUGUUAAGCUGUUGAUAAUUUUUGAGUAGCCAAUAUUGGAUGGGGCAAUGAUGGUAAAGUUGGUAGGAAGACAUCAAAGAACAUACUAUCAAUAUGAACUAACUUUAGGAAGUGAGGAAAAUCUAAAUUUUGAAGAGUUGAAUUAUUGUUUUGUGAGUCGUCUAGUAACUUCAGCAGGAGGUGAUGAUUGCCAGGUAAUUCAAAAAUAAAUCGAGAAGAGCGAGGUAACAACUAGAUAGUGGCCUAAGAUAUUCUAAAGAUGAAUAAAGAUUGACAUCAGUUCUGAUGGUAUUUAUAUGCUUUACUACUUAAGUUGUACCAAAACUUACAGAAUCAUCGAUAAAUAAGCUCCAUGUGUGACAGACAUUCUAUGUUCAUAUAGUUUGAAGUAGAUGUAGUUGUUAUCGUGUACUAUAUUCAGAAUGUGCUAUUAUAGGCAGUGUGAUAUUGAAUUUAACUCCGUAGUAUGAAGUUCUGUCAUAGUAAAGGUAUUCUAAGCAUACUAAUAAUAAACAUUUUGCUUGGCUAUGUGCCAUGACUACUAGGAUUUGAUGAGUGAUGGAGGAUAUGGGACAUCACACAACUCUUUGGUUAAGAAACACCAAUUCUCAUCGCCAUAAACUGUGGAAAAAUAUCCUGCAGCACUAAGACUUCAGCGACAGUGCUACAUAAACAGGAUGGCGGAAGAAUUAAUUCUUAUCAGCUUUUGGGGUCACAAAUGACUGGAGAUAACUACUUGAGGAUAAUUUUCUACAACAUAUAAAAAUUAUCGAGUGAGGGAAAUGGUUAUAGAGAGUAGAUAUUUAGGAGAUAUUAUGGAUGGGUACAUUGGGAUCUGAUGAUUAGAAGAAUCUACAAGGUUGAGAUGCAUACAAGUUCCAACUAAAAUGAUCUACAAGAAGAAGAAAACAUGCUAGCUAGCACUCAUAAAGUUGAGAUUGUAUUCAUUUACUUAUCAAUUAUUUCAAACCAAGAAGAUAAUGAACAGAGGAAGUCUAGUUUCACGUAGCUGUGCAGAAAAGUGUGAAAAUAAAUAAAGAAGAAGAUGUCCAACAUUGACAAAAGUCUAGUUAACUUAUGGUUCCUCUAUUAAGAAAUUGGUGUUUGUUAAAUUGCAAGUACAAGAAACAUUAACAAAAUAUUUGAUAGUUAACUAAUUGUUCCUCCGUUAAGCAAAAACAAAAUGUGCAACAGUGGAAAGAAGUCUUGUUAAAUAAUAGUUCCUCUGUUAAGCAACUGAUUCUUGUAAAAUUACAAAUGCAAGAAACAACAACAACAUGCUUAGCAGCUAUGCAAUGAAGUGUAUUUAAAGUAGAGCAAGCAGAGUAUGUGAAGCAGUGACUAUACACGGUUGAAGUUGAGCAACUUCUAAAACGAUUAUACACAAAUCAACAAAAUAAAUUAAAAAUUGCAGUAUAAUAUUACUUACUUGGUCAGUAAAACAAAACAGUGGUUCUUCAGUUUAAACAAACAAUGUCAUAUGCGAGAUAUGUUAUUUUUGAGCAGUGAAGAACUCUUGUAUUUGUCUUCUUUUUUCUAUCUUGUUCCUCUGAUAGACAAGCGAUCAUUCAUAAAUUUAUUUUCCUCUCAUGUUGAACGUAGAGCGGAUAAUAAUUCAGCCUUUGAAUGUAGAGCGGAUAGUAUUUUAGACUUGGAUGGCACUUAAGAACCACGACAAAAGGGCCAAGUGCCCACACUACAUUUGUUACCUCAACAACUACCCACAUGUGAUCCAGUUUUUAUUGCUUAAUAUCACUCCACGAUUAUACUUCCAAUGAACUCAUAUUAUAAUCACGAAUUGGGUUAUCUCUCUCGUUUGGCUUAAUUAGAUAACAAAUCUCUAGUUGAUUUAUAUACCUUCAAUCUUAUUCUCAAUAUUGCAAUAAAAUCUAAGUGUGAUCUCAGUCUUUAUAAAUUGGUGUCACUUUCAGGGAACAACAGAGUACAUGUAUUUUUCAUUCUUUACAUUAGCUCACAUAUUUGAUCAAAUAAUUGUGACUUAUUGCAUAUACAGGGUAUUUAUUAAAUAGUAUUUUGGCAUGACGUAAGAUGCAUAUCUUCUUUCUACAGUAUGCUACUUAUAAUAGUUUUCUUAAAAUAUUAAAUUGUUAUGCCUUCUAUGACAAUUGAUUCAACUAGAUGUUUGCAUCUAAAUAGAUGAUAUUUGUUACAUUAUUGAGGAUAAUUUGGUAUUAAAGCUAUGGAAUUCCAAUAGUUUAUGAACAAAUAUCAACAUGUUUCUAAUCUACAAUUCAAUGAACAAUGUUUGGGCUACAAACUAGCAUAUACUUAAAAAAAAGAUUAUUAACUCAGAAUCCCAACUUAGUAAUCUUUUGGCUAAUUAUACACAUACAGAAAACAAUCACAUAGCGAAGAAGAAUAUAAAGAGAAACUUGAACAAAACAAAUACAAAAGGGAAUCAAGAAAAGAACAAAAUUCAAUGUUGUUGAGGAGGCAUACCUAAGAACUGAUUAGAUAUAUAUCAACUCGCUGAAAAGGGUCGAA
rnacentral:lncRNA from 1 species